UGGGGAAUCUUGGACAAUGGGGGCAACCCUGAUCCAGCCAUGCCGCGUGAGUGAUGAAGGCCUUAGGGUCGUAAAGCUCUUUCGCCUGUGAAGAUAAUGACGGUAGCAGGUAAAGAAACCCCGGCUAACUCCGUGCCAGCAGCCGCGGUAAUACGGAGGGGGUUAGCGUUGUUCGGAAUUACUGGGCGUAAAGCGCACGUAGGCGGACCAGAAAGUUGGGGGUGAAAUCCCGGGGGCUCAACCCCGGAACUGCCUCCAAAACUAUUGGUCUAGAGUUCGAGAGAGGUGAGUGGAAUUCCAAGUGUAGAGGUGAAAUUCGUAGAUAUUUGGAGGAACACCAGUGGCGAAGGCGGCUCACUGGCUCGAUACUGACGCUGAGGUGCGAAAGUGUGGGGAGCAAACAGGAUUAGAUACCCUGGGUAGUCCACACCGUAAAACGAUGAAUGCCAGUCGUCGGGGUAGCAUGCUAUUCGGUGACACACCUAACGGAUUAAGCAUUCCGGCCUGGGGAGUACGGUCGCAAGAUU
rnacentral:rRNA from 1 species